CUAUUGUGAUGAGUUUUACUUCAUGGUCUGUGUUUCUGACAUCUGAAGAUAAUUAAGUUCUGAGUCU